rnacentral:rRNA from 1 species
UACGGAGGUCCCAAGCGUUGUUCGGAUUUACUGGGCUUAAAGCGCGUGUAGGCGGAUUGGUACGUACCUUGUGAAAUCCCACGGCUCAACCGUGGAAUGGCUGGGUAUACGGCCGAUCUUGAGGCUGAUAGAGGUGCCUGGAACCUUAGGUGGAGCGGUGAAAUGCGUAGAUAUCUAAGGGAACGCCGGUGGCGAAAGCGGGGCACUGGGUCAGUCCUGACGCUGAGACGCGAAAGCGUAGGGAGCAAACGGGAUUAGAUACCCCGGUAGUCUACGCCGUAAACGAUGCGCACUAGGUACGAGGACCACUGACGGUAAUCGUGCCGAAGCAAAAGUGAUAAGUGCGCCGCCUGGGGAGUACGGCCGCAAGGCUAAA